GCGGCGACGGCAGCGAGGAAAGGCGACGGCGGCGGCGGGGAAAAACUAGCAGAUCAAGACGGCGCCGACGAGAUCCUCCUCCGGCGACUGGUCCCCGGUGAGUCCUCGCGGCACCUCCCUUUUCCCCUCCUCCCUAGGGUUUUUUGGUGUCGCCGCCUCCGCGACGGAGCUCCCGGACGGAGGUUGUGUGGACGACGCGCGCGGCGCGAGGGAAGGGAGCAACAGCGGCCGGUGCCAAGCUAGGUCGACGUUAGAUGGAUUCAAGGCUGCUCGGCAGCCUGCACGGGCACCUCAACUUGCUGCUGAUGGUCAAUCAGCUACGGUCUCCAGCUGUUCAGGAUUGGCAGCUCUGUGUAGAUUUGCUCUGCCCUCUUCUUCAUGCUCUACUGUAUUAUUACAACUGUAGUAUUCAGUUGUAGCAAUAAUAUCUUGUUCUGUUAGAAUUAGUAUGCUGCUUACGAAAGGAACGGUCGAGUUCAUGUACUGAAAACACCUCUUUUUUGCUGGUAGGCUGCUAUGAAAAGGAAAAAACAGAUUUUAACCGAGCUAUGUACUUGUUACCUUGGAGUGCGUCAUUAGCCAUGAAAGCAAGGUGCUUUACUGUUAUGCAGCAGUAAUCUCUUCCAAUUCCGUAAAAUCAUUGCUACUGACAUGCGUGUUAUAUUCUAGGAUGGAUUUAUCAAACCUUCAGUUAAUGGAAACUUUGUAGGCCCUAGCUAAGAUCAUGGAGGUUCUCUGCUUUGCUUCCUUGGAGCAUUGACCAUUUACUGCGUACAUGUUGGAUAGCUUUCAGUGCCUGCCGACUGCCCUGUGCGUACAUGUUGGAGAAUUGAGGUCUGCCAUGGACUGCAGCUCCGAUGAGUCAUCAGAGCUAAAUGAUACCGAUAUUGAUGACUAUACAGGAUACUUGUUUGUCAAGUUGUUGCAUCGCUGUUCCUGUUCGAGAAAAUUGCAUUACAAUGAGUUCAUGUUAAAUAGUGUUUGUGUAAUGCCGUUUAAAAUUAUACCUAAUACUUGGUUAUGAACUGGUUGUGCAUUACACAAUCAAAGUUUGAGUUUUUAAUUUA